UUUUUACUAAUCUAUAAUAUAAGAAAAUUGUAUCUUUUCCAAGUUUCAGUCCGGUGCUGCCAAGUGGCUCUUCUGGAUCCGCCACGUCACUACUGAUUUCUCAAUUUCUCUCCCUCCACCUUCCAUCAGUUACUGAUAUUUACUUCCCACAACCUUCCACUUUCCAGCAGUUACACAUGCUGACUCUUUUGUUUCAACUGCUCCACUUUGGCUGAUUACGUUACAUGACGUUACAAUUUGUUCCCCAACUUCUUCAUCUUUACCCCUCCCUUGCAAUCAUUGUUUCAGCAACGUCUUCCUUUACUCUCUCUGUUUCAUUGCCUCUAUCUUGAUCUCCGAAGCUUGGCACCAAUUAUAAUUGUUUUCCCAAAUUCUCCAAUAUUCAUGAAAUUACCUGUGCAAUUUCAUCGUUCCUAAUAGAUCGAUGAUUUUUCGUUAUUCGUUCGAACUAACGAUUUUCGUUUUGUUUGAUUUUCACAGGGCAAGGCUUUUGGUUCCGGUCAUCGCACCGUCGUAACAUGUUGUCUUGGAUUUUCUCAUUGUUCCUUUCGUGCUAUAAGAAAGAGAUUUGGAGAUGAAAACAUUAUCGAUGUGCGAUAUUGAAACUAAUCUAUUGCUAAAUGGAAGCUACUGGUUUUGUCUCUGCAGGUGCUGGACUGAUGUUUGUCAGCCUGCAUAAUCCUCAAAUCAAGGAAGUCUCUUCAUUGGUUUUUCUUCAAACAUGCUGACAGUUAUUCCUUUCCAUUGAAAGAUAAGUUCAAUUAUCCUUUCUUGAUAACUCUAUGUGAUUCACAAGGUGAAAUCAUUCAUGAGUAUAAAUAAUUGGUUUUACUGCCGAUUAGGAAAGUUCUAUACACUUUAGCAAUGAUUCUCUGUAUAAUGGUAGGCCAAAAUUAUAUAUUAGAGUGUCUUUUUAAAUUAUGAAUUGAUGCCGUAAUUUUUGUAAUAUCGCAAUGGAGUUGCAGAUUCUAAAACGGAUGAAUGGAAAAAUGCAGUAUUGUUCGAUUAGCCUGUAGGAUGUUGGAACACUAAUCCAUGCAUUCAGGUUUACAUUAAAACGGACUACUGAUGCAACAAAGUACUGAUGCACCAAAACAGUAUCGAGCUAUGGUUUGAUCCGAGUAAAUCCGUUCACUGGAACUUAAAUGCUUGUGACCCUUCCCGUUGGGGUACGGUACAAAUCGAUGGGGAGUAAGCUGGAUUCUUCAAGUACUAUCAUCAAUUUCCAAAUGACAUGGUCGAUUUAACGUUGGCUGCGUGUUGGUGGAGAUUAGGGUCCUUAUAGGAAAUCUGAGAGGAAUUCUUUGCUGCAAGCUUCAAUAUUUUUAGCAACGUGAAGUGGAAUGUUGUUAUAUGUACAACAGGCUGUUUUGGUGGCCUUGGUUUGAUGGCCUCCGGACAUUUGAAGAUGAAUGUUUGGUGCGGAUCUGGCGCGACCAGAUUGUGCUAUUCUGAACUGCAUGACCCGAAUUUAGGAUCUGAAGUGAUUUCCUCUCGGAUUGAACAUGAUGUAUAGGUAUAACUUUGUCUUUCAUUUGGCUUUGAGGUCAGGAAUCGUAACGAUGUUAGCUGGUAGUUAAAAGUUAAGUCAAAAGGAAAUCGAAGGUUAGAUGUUAAGGAAGUAUUGAAUGCAGAAUGUGUAUGUACAAGUUCGGUGAUGAGGCUGCCCGUGACGCUGCUCCGAGUGCAAGGCUGACUGAGUAGCACGUCUACAUCCAGAUGUCUCACUUCAUAGUUCAUAUACAUUUUAGGUGCGGAAUUUUGAGUUGAGAAAAGUUAGCAUCCGUUGCGGCAUUCUAUGGAUGGGAUACUUGUCAUUUUUCAAUCUGAAAUGUUAAAUCACAUUGAUGCUGAUUGGGUUGAUUCUCGUCAUUUAUUGUUAGUUUGCAUUGUCCUGAAUUUUCUCAUUUAUUUGGAACUGUAAUAAUGUUAACUCUGUCUCCGCCUUCCUGUUAAAAUGUGUCUUUAACUAUCAUAUGAGCUACUACUCCUCUUUUUUAGGUGCCUGGAGGUUAAGUUGGUCAAGGUCGGGGGAUUUUGAAAAUCCAAGGGCUGGUGACAGUAGCGACGUCUCCGGGAUUUUGUUUUUCGAUUCUGUUGAAUUUGGUGCUACGAGAAGGGUGCUUGUCUUGAAUACUAUAUCUUUGGGGACUGUUUUGAUAUUCACAUCAAUCAAUUUUUCCGCAAUAACAGGUGCUGGGAGUAUGGUUUUUAUUUCAGUUUAUUUGGGGUAGGCUUUGGUGUCUUGUGUUCGGUUUGCUUACCAUAUGAUUUAGUUUGGUGUAAUUAACUCUGAUGUAAUUUAGCACUGCUGGUGCUUGAUC